AGUGAACGCUGGCGGUAGGCCUAACACAUGCAAGUCGAACGGCAGCACAGUAAGAGCUUGCUCUUACGGGUGGCGAGUGGCGGACGGGUGAGGAAUACAUCGGAAUCUACUUUUUCGUGGGGGAUAACGUAGGGAAACUUACGCUAAUACCGCAUACGACCUACGGGUGAAAGCAGGGGAUCUUCGGACCUUGCGCGAUUGAAUGAGCCGAUGUCGGAUUAGCUAGUUGGCGGGGUAAAGGCCCACCAAGGCGACGAUCCGUAGCUGGUCUGAGAGGAUGAUCAGCCACACUGGAACUGAGACACGGCCCAGACUCCUACGGGAGGCAGCAGUGGGGAAUAUUGGACAAUGGGCGCAAGCCUGAUCCAGCCAUACCGCGUGGGUGAAGAAGGCCUUCGGGUUGUAAAGCCCUUUUGUUGGGAAAGAAAAGCAGCAGGUUAAUACCCCGCUGUUCUGACGGUACCCAAAGAAUAAGCACCGGCUAACUUCGG
rnacentral:rRNA from 1 species